rnacentral:lncRNA from 1 species
GAUAAGACAAAAAUAAAACCAAUCACAAGAGACACCAAAUUUACAUGAAAGAACCUUCGAUGUGAAGAGUAAAAAACCACAGGACCAAACCUCCACUAUCAUCAUUAAGAGUUACAAUAUUGAUCUUCAAAACUAGCUGCAAAACAAGUGUUAAACAACGAGAAACAACACAACAAUAUAGCACCAAAACUAGAGAAUAAAAAAGAAGCAAAAACACCAAAAAUGCAGCUAUUGUUCAAGAAUGAAAAAUAGGAGUUAUAGGCCACCUAAUACGAGCCAAAUGACCAUCUUAGCUUUUCAUGACAUCAUUGGAGGCCAACACUUAAAGACUCAAGCUUUGGUCACCUCGAGGACAUAAGAUCAUACAUGGAGGACCCGUUUUAGAUAUUCAAGAGAGCAGUUUUGUGUGUGGAGGGUUGCUUGGAGGCUUUCCUUGAAAACUAUUCAAAAGCACAUGUUUUGAAGUGUUUUGAAGAGCUUUAAACACUCCAAAACACUCCAAGGAAGCUCCUAAUUUACACACCAAGGCCGCCUCUCUCAUUAAGGGUAUUUUGACCAUUUUGUUAUGUAAUAAGCUAGCCUAUAAAUAGUCUUCUAUUAGGUCAUUUUCUCUUUAGUUUAUGAUGGAUAUUUAAAGAAUAUUGAAAGUCUUCUCUCUUUGAGAGUGUAUCUUAGUGUAGGGCUUGGAAAAUCCAAGUAGUUUAGUGUAGGGCUUGGAAAAGCCAAUAUUGAUCUUUUGCUUAGAAACGGUGGUUGUAAGCGGAGUUGAUUCCCUUAGUAGUCACCGUAAGAAGUUUGGUCUUUGAUUAUUACGAUGUUGAGGGUAUUUCCAUUUGAUACACGUGUCGGUUCUCCUUGUUUCGUAAGAUAUUAUUUCAUCUUACCUAUCAUUUAUUUUUAUUGCAUUAUUGUGUUUGUGUUUCUUGUUCUUGUUCACGAUUUAUAUGUGUUGCUACCGAGGGUGAAUUUUCAUCUUGUUCUCAGCAACAACACACAAAAGUCAUGAACAAGAACAAGAAACACAAACACAAAAUGCAAUAAAAGUAAA